ensembl:lncRNA
GGCUAUAUACAGGGUAUUACGGUACAGAGUCAAUGUGGAGGCUAUAUACAGGGUAUUACGGUACAGAGUCAAUGUGGAGGCUAUAUACAGGGUAUUACGGUACAGAGUCAAUGUGGAGGCUAUAUACAGGGGGUACCGGUACAGAGUAAAUGUGGAGGCUAUAUACAGGGUGUUACGGUACAGAGUCAAUGUGGAGGCUAUAUACAGGGUGUUACGGUACAGAGUCAAUGUGGAGGCUAUAUACAGGGUGUUACGGUACAGAGUCAAUGUGGAGGCUAUAUACAGGGGGUACCGGUACAGAGUCAAGGUGGAGGCUAUAUACAGGGGGUACCGGUACAGAGUCAAGGUGGAGGCUAUAUACAGGGGGUACCGGUACAGAGUAAAUGUGGAGGCUAUAUACAGGGGGUACCGGUACAGAGUAAAUAUGGAGACUAUAUAUAGACCUAAUAGAGACCUAAUGUUGUUGUAGACCUAAUAUAGACCUAACACUGUUUUAGACCUAAUGUUAUUAUCAACCUAAUGCUGUUAUAGACCUAAUAUUGACCUAAU